AAUUUGCUAGCAGCCUUUAGAUGAACAUGUAGAACUCUCCUUUCUGACUGCACCAUGCCUGCCUAGAUGCUGCCGUGCUCCCACCUUGAUGAUAAUGGACUGAACCUCUGAACCUAUCUUGCCUUUCAGGCAGGGGACUUAAGACGAAGCUUUCACAUGUUCUACAAGAAAUGCAGCCUAUAAUCCAGAUCAUCACUCAAACAAUUCAAGAAGAGGAAAAGGAGAUUUACAAACAGCUGCUGUCGAUGGUCACAGGGAAACAGUUCUCUGUAGCCAAGCCAACCACACUUUUUCCAUUGCACCUGUCUCGGUGUCUUAGUUCCAAUAAGUACUCUUUGAAAGACUUGCUGUUGAGAAUCAAAAACUCCUGUGCCUCUCGUGUCAUUGGUUCUGAUACGUCAUCCUCUGGAUCUGCAUAGGAGCAGUUGUCCCACAGUGCACAUUCCCUGUUAUCUGGUACCCUGGAUGCUGACUUUGGAUCCAAAGUCUCUGAUUCUCACCAUCACCUCUCUGCACCUCAUCAGCCAGAUAGCUUACCAGCAUCAAAUACACAAUCGGAAGGCUCAGACUCUGUGGUUGAUUUUUAAGAUUUAUUUAUUUAUGUACAUUGUUACUAUCUUCAGACACACCAGCAGUGGGCAUCAGAUCCCAAUUACAGAUGGUUGUGAGUCACCACGUGGUUUCUGGGAAUUGAACUCAGGACCUCUGGAAGUGCAGUUAGUGCUCUUAUCCACUGAGUCAUUUAUCCAGCCCCUGUGAUUUUACUCAAAGUGAAAGAAUCUCAGACUCCAGUCCUACUUUCUUCUAGGCAGAGCUAUGGAUCAAAGAAUUAACUAAUGUUUAUGAUUCUUGAGGUCUGGAAACAUUGUGUCAGUUUGAAGAACAGAAAGCAUUGACACUACCGCUUCGAAAUCAGAGAUUGCAGGAGCAGGAACAUGCAGUACUUGAUUCCUUAGAACUUCACCUUUGUAUACCCCUUGAAAAGGAGAUUCCUGUCAGCUGCCCAAGAAACCAGGAAAAAAGUCACCAACUGAUUGAUAGUGAAGAUGAAUUUCCUGAAAUUACAGAGAAAAUGAAAAAAGAAAUAAAGAGUGUAUUUUAUAACUGUAACCAGGAUGAAAUCUUCAAUGAGGCAUUCUGCUUGGCCUUUACAUACAAAGACAUUAGGACUCUAAACCAUCUAAACUGGCUCAAUGAUGAGAUCGUUAAUUUCUACAUGAUUAUGCUAAUGGAAUGCAGUAAAGAAAAGGGAUUUCCAAAUGUUCAUGCAUUUAAUACUUUUCUUCACUCAAAAUAAAAAUAGCUAGUUAUCAGGCAGUGAAACAUUGGACAAAGAAAGUGGAUGCAUUUUCCCUUCACAUUCUUCUGGUGUCCCUUCACUUGGGUGUGCACUGGUGUCUGACUGUUGUAGACUUUAGAAAGAAGAGUAUCACCUACUAUGAUUCUAUAGGUGGAAUAAACAAUGAGGCCUGCAGGAUCCUCUUACAAUACCUAAAACAAGAAUGUGUUGACAAGAAAAGGCAAGAGUUUGACACCAAGGGCUGACAGCUCUUCAGCAAGAAAAGCCAGGAAAUCCUACAGCAGAUGAAUGGAAGUGACUUUGCUCCUAAAUGGGGUGUUUGCUUACAAAUAUGCUGACUGCAUUACCAAAGACAGACCAAUCAACUUCGCACAGCAACACGUGCCAUAUUUUCAGAAGCACUGGAAGCUCUUGUAAAGACUGUUUCAGUGA
rnacentral:lncRNA from 1 species